ACUGGCUCCUGGACAGGCAGGCCCUGGGUCACCAAGGCCACCAGCCUGGUAGGGACAUGGGAGAGCAGGGGAAGGAGUCCUCUAUGUUCCUGCAUACACAUCCAGACUCUUGUGGGCAAGGACAGCAGCCAGGUUCAACAUGCCCCAACUCUGCCCUCUCCAAAUGCCUUUAAAGACAAGCUGUAGGGGACUGUGAAGAUGACCCCAAGGAUCCAGACAUUUCCAGUUCCUGCAUCCAGUGGCCCUGCUGGGCAGAGGGGUCAUGAUUCAGAUGACUCGCACAUCGUUUCAAGGCAGAAUAAGAAAAGAGCCAGGCCUCAAAGGAGUUUUGUCACAGCAAGCUCGGACCUUUGAACCCUAUUCCUCACCCUGAUUUCCUGGCUGGGAAGAAAACAGCAGUCUAUAAAUAAUCUACACACUCCGAUUUCCUUACAGCACAUGCAUCUCCAAAACUAUUUCCCAAAGGCUCCAUCUCUCUGUUUCCUGGCUAGAGAACACUGAUUCAUCCCUCAAAACCCUGUUGAAAUGAUGCUCGUGUGUAAGACUUCCCUGGCCUCCACAUCCCCAAACUGGGUCGGUUACUCCUUUGCUGAGCAUGCCGUAUCAAAUUGUCAAUACAGUGUUUAUGUCCCCCGGCAUCUGGGACAGUGCCAGAAGCAUACUAGGAGCUCCAUAAUGUUGGUUAAAUGAACAGAUACAAAAAUAAAUAAGUCCACCUCCCAA